AACGAACGCUAGCGGCGCGUUUUAAGCAUGCAAGUCGAGCGGUAAGGCUCCCUUCGGGGAGUACACGAGCGGCAAACGGGUGAGUAACACGUAACUACCUACCUUACAGUGGGGGAUAGCCACGGGAAACUGUGGGUAAACCCGCAUACGCCCCUUAGGGGGGGAAAUCUCCGGAGCUGUAAGACGGGGUUGCGGCCCAUUAGCUUGAUGGCGGGGUAAUGGCCCACCAUGGCGAUUAUGGGUAGCCGGCCUGAGAGGGUGAACGGCCACAUUGGGACUGAGACACGGCCCAG
rnacentral:rRNA from 1 species